UUUGUCUAUUAAUUGUAGACCAGUAUGAAAGGCAAAAUGAGAGCCCAACUGUCUCUUAUAAUAGAUCAAUUAAACUGAUCUCCUAGUACAAAAGCUAGAAUAUCAACAUAAGACCAGAAGACCCUGUGAAGCUUUAACUAACCUAUUAAACCAAAUAAUAGCUACUUUCGGUUGGGGCGACCUUGGAAUAAAAAAGAACUUCCAAUAUAUGACUUCCUCAUAAAACAGGCAAACAAGCCGAUACCAGACCCAGCACAGCUGAUAAUUGAAACAAGUUACUCCAGGGAUAACAGCGCUAUCUUCUUCAAGAGCCCAUAUCAAAAAGAAGGUUUACGACCUCGAUGUUGGAUCAGGACAUCCAAGUAAUGCAGCCGUU
rnacentral:rRNA from 1 species